UUGCUUACACGGACCAAUUAACCCACUUAACCAAUGCAUUUCGUCCUUGCAGAUGCACACAGAAAGAGGAUACUUGCUAUCUAACAGGAUCUGGCUCCGGUCUCAAGGGUAUAGGUCAAAGGUAGAUUCCAGCUUUUGUUAACCAGAUCGGUCUCCAAGAACUGGUGCACCGAAGCGCUGGUUUGGUGUAAGCCUUGCUGAUCAUCUGCUCAGAAAUUCCCGCAUGGACCGUGACAGGGAUGACCAACACCCAGACGUACUCCUAGCCACGGAGACAUGCAAGGUUCCCUGGCUCUUUCUGGAGCAUCAGAGAAGCAUGAGUCCUGUGCAGCACACCUAAGGCUGGAGGGGACCUUCUUCAGACACAUCUCUGUGCAGUGAGCAUCUCCAAUGGAUGUCCACUCUGGGUUCCCCAAUCUUGUGAGCUGACCAAGAGUUCCCUAACUCAAGUUCAAGUAACUAAUGAUCAGAAAACAAGCAAGUAGAGGCCUAAGGGAGCGGUUUUUGUGGUUUUGCAGGUAAACAGGCCUCCUCCCUAACCACUCCUACUUAGUACCUUUCUUGCAUUUUGGGAAUCUUCAAAGUAGGCCAUUUUUUAAAAGUCACAGGAUCCUCAUUAAAAAAAAUUUUUUUGAUAUAUGUAUAAAAUUACGGUUCAAGACAGUUUUAAAAAAAGGUUUGUAUGUGACAUAGCUCCACUCAAAUUCAUGAUGUUAAUUUUCUGAAAUAACAUUGGCAAGAAGAGAUGAGAAAUAAAAUCAACCAACAUCUAAACUGUGGCCUUACAAAGAGUUUGAUGAUGUCACCAUGGAAAGAACAACUUGUUCCACUGUUCCCCACCCUCUGUCCUUUGUUCUGGCCUGGUUUUCUGGAACUCCCACUUCUGAUCUGGGUUUUCCUACGGAUUGGUGAACACCAGCAAAUCAUUAACCUUCCGUGUCUGCUUAUCUCGAAUUUGUUUCAUUUGUAUACAUGUUGCCUGGUUUAGAUGAGUCCAACCUGUAAAAAUGCUCUCUCCAUGGGUUUCUGUUAUUGUUCUAUAUCUUAGAAUUGCCUGUGUAUUUUAGCGCUCUCUUCAAUUUUUGUUUUCGCUGCAAAAUAAUUAAAAAGUAAUGAGAUAUAUACGAAUGAAAUUUAACAAUCACUCUCCUCACCAUAAAGCCCGUGCCAAGGCGAUAAAUUAUCACGAGUGUUUAAAACAACCCGUCUGGUAUUGAGGAAACCAAGUGGCUCUUUUCAAGUGGAAGAAAGACCGGAAAGGUUUUCUAUAUUAAUGAGAACUGUACUUUAAUUCUGUUGGGAGGGCUGCUGAUGGCAUACAAGGCUGUGUUUUAUUGAGUUGAACAUCUGUCA